rnacentral:rRNA from 1 species
AUGGGACCGUUGAGGCAAAAGCAGAGUUUGAACGGAGAGGCGGGUUCGGUUGGAAGUGGUGGCGCGAGGGGGAGACAGCUGGCAGCAAUCAUUGCGCCCAUCGACAGCCAGGAGAGGAACAAUGUGCAGUUGGAGACCGCGCGGUCGUUGUGGCCAACAGGGACAGGUACGGAAGAUCAGGUGGGCCAGGGAGUGGAAGGAUCAGAGAGAAUUGUGACUGCUGAUACGGUGGGGCCUGUGGUGCCGGUGGCGGGGAUCGAGACACAGACAGAUGGGAGUGGUGGUGAUCCCAACGUGCCAAUGCCGAUGGGUGGGUGUGCGGAUGAGAUCGGGGAGCAGGUGGAGCCCAGUUCCCGGCAGGCCAAUGCUUCGAGGGUGGCGCCCACCAACCCACCCACACAGUGGAAGGACCCGGUCUCCAAGGAAGGGGAGAAGGACACGCAUGACGGAGGAUCGGUGGGGGAUCAGGAAAAAGUUGCGGCAGUGGCCAAGGGCAGUGGGGCCGAGCUACAGGAGAUCAGAGAAUCUUUCGCAGAGGAGAGACCAAUGGGUGGUGAAUGCGCAGCCAUGCAGGAUGGGACACCCCCAUGCAUGGGCAAUGCGCACAUAAACAGUGGCCUGGCAAAGGAUGGCACGGAGCAGCAAGCACUGAUUUUGCACUGCGGCUCGGACGACACAGUGGGAAUGACCACGCAGGAAGUUGUGGCGUACAACAAGCUCAAGGGCUUUUGUUCCAACAUUAUCAAGAAGCUGGCGCCACCUUUGCUUAAGGAGAUACAAGCGGCGAAUUUGAGGCCGGAGGCGACACCUUUUACCCCCAAGCGCAUGACACGUGCAACGAAGAAAACGGCCCCCAGUAGUCGAUCCAGAGACAACCCGGCUGAGAACGUGCUACUUCAUGCACUUGGGAUGGUGCCAGAAGACAUGGUGGCGGACGACGGAAUGGUGCAAGAGCUUCAGGCUCUAUUUGAUUCACCUUUGAGGGAGCAGCAUAUCAGGAUCAUUGCGGGGCUCUUUGGCAAGGCAGUGCCAACGGUGCAAGACAUGGAGGCCAACAACGUGGUGGUGCUAUGCUCGCACUAG